UGGACUGGGGCCGGCGGAGGGGAACAACACUGAUCCUGGUAAGUCACAGGCACAGCCAGGUGCACACCUGUGAGCACCUGGAGGACAGGUACACUUCUGCGUUUCCCAUCUUUGCAGAGUCCAGCUGGUGACGUUGCGGAGUGAGUGGGAGAGAAGGAUGCCUUUCCCCCAGCAACAUGGGGUUGAGUUUCCUGUCGUUUGUUUCCACAAGAUGAAGGAGGGAAAAGGGGCUGAGAUCAAAUGCUCCAGAUGGAAAAGCUGAGAGUGCCAAGCUCUUUGCGUCUUCUCCCUCGUGUAGACAAAAAGCACACUUAGGAGCUGAGGCGGGCCAGCUUUCUGUGCAGGCCGGAUGGCCCGGCGUGUGUUCACCCUCCUUUUGACUUGCGCACUGUGUCCUGGCCGGGCAGCCUCCCUGAACAGGUAGGCGUAAUUGUUUUCAUCUGUAACCACAACUGGCAGAAGAGAAAGAGGGAGAGGAAGCUCUGUAUAACCCCAGUGCUUUCUAUGGCUGUGUCUUGGAGAAAUCUGAUUGUCUGGAACUGCAGACAGUAAUCAAGGCCUCGCGGGAGGACCGAGGUCAGAAGGGGUUUCCACGUGAGCGUUAACCUUGCACACUUGAAGUGAAGACAGGCAGGUUCUGGAAUAUUUUGUGUACGUGCUCACAUACUCACCCAUAGAGGUACUAAGGUCUCCCUCCUCCCUGUCAUUCUGGGUCCCGUGACCCCUCAGGGACACAAGCCUGUUCAGAUUCAGAUGGCCCCGAGCCCCACGGGAGUCAACCUGCACAUCAGAGUUCACACUCACCGACAGCAGCCAUCACUGCAUUUUAAUCAGAAAACAACUGGAAGAGAAACGUGCAAAUGCUGUAAACUGGCUGAAAUCUGUUUUUAGAAGCUGGUAUGUUUGGAGUUAAAACACAGCCAUUAGAUUUCCGGCACCGUAAGUGAUUGCUUCGUGCAUCUUCUCGUGAGAAGGGAAGUUUUCAGUGGAGACCUGGAGGGGCUGGAGCAUUUCCACCUUCUGCUUCAUUGCAGCCCCGGCGUGUGCUGUGGUCAGCGCAUUGGCACCUGUCCACACUCACACGGAUUCUACUGGACUUUGAGGCUAGAAAUGCCCAACUUUCUGGAGUAGUUUAGGAAGUUCUUUGAAAAAUGGGGCUACAGAGCACUACAGCCAGAAUCCGACAGCUGGCAUGUGCCUUUGUUUUGAGCUGCAAGAAUGAUCUUGGGCACGACCUUGCGUCUCUGCAGCGUUCGGGGCGUGACUUAGGUCUUUAUUGCGCAGACCCUGUGCCGUGAACCUUGGGUCUGGCUAGGGCGGGGCGGUACCCCGGCCACAUUUUAGUGCUGCGGGCUGGGGACAUAGGUUUGGAUGGGGCUCCCAGGAGUUAAGGUUUUCUUCCCAUCUUUGACGUGCUGUGGGAUGGUGGAUUCCAUGUUACGAUCCUGUUGGCUGACUCCUCCCGUGGGAGACAAAUUCCUCUGAGCUGUGGCGCGUUCCCGAGGAUGACUGGGCUGUGGAGAAAUGCUUCGUUCUCUUCAGCAGACAGACUUGUUUUUCUCAAGCGUCAGGGGCGGGGUAGCACGGCAAUGACGUCGCUUUGCUCCGACUCUCCCUCCCUCCUCCCUGAGACUGAGGAGUCAUGAAACCUCGGUUAAACUGCGUGAAAACACAAACAUCCCAGCCUGGGCCGGGAUGACCAGGAGCAGCGGGAGCAGCAGGAUGACCAGGAUGAACCUCAGCUCAUUUAUCCAUUCAGCUACCAAAGACGUCUUGGUUGCUUCCAGAUCUUGGCAAUGAUGAGAAAAGCUGCUGUGAGCAUCUGUGUGCAAGAAUCUGUGUGGACAUGUUUCCAGCUCAUUUGAAUAAAUACCAAGGAAUGGAGUCGAUUGCUGGAACACUUGGUAAGAGCAUGUUUAGUUUUGUAGGAAACCAUCAAACUGUCUUGCACAGUGGCUGGACCAUUUUGCGUUCCCACCAGCCAGGAGUGAGAGUUUCUGUUGUCCGUAUCCUCGCCAGUGUUUGGUGUUGUCAGUGUCCUGGAUUUUGGCCGUCCUGGUAGGUGUGAGGUGACAUCUCAUUGUUGUUUUAAUGUAUCUGCUUUUAUGGGGCUUGGUAACGUGGAGGGCAAGGCCGUCUGUUAGGAAGACACAGGCAGAACGUCCCCAAACUUGAGUAACCUGGAAGUGAGAUGAGCUGUCGCUGGAAAUGGGAGGAGGGAGAGCCAGGAUGAACCACAGGCCGGGGCCAGGCAGGGCCAGGCAGGUGCCAAGAGCGGGAUGGACUGCUGCCCAUGGAGACGGGGCCAGGACCCGGGGCCUUGCUGGCUGAGACCCCCGGAGAGGAGUGCCAGCUUCCGUCCUUGGUCCCUCCUGGUCUGUGCGGCGGGGCCCUCACCCUGCCCUUGGCUGUGCGGAUGCUGGAUUAGAACUCCUGCAAGGAGUGGAGCGAAGCUGGGAGGGGGAGGGAGGGUUCUCAGGAGGGUCAGGAGUCGGGGUGCCCACUUCCUUUGUGUCGUGGGACGCAGAGCCCGGACUCGCCCUUCGUGCAAACUCUUGACACCCACGGAGCACAUGAAUCUCCCCAGCUCCAGGGAUCCUAAGCUGGGAGACUCGGUCCCCGAAGUCACUCUGAAUUUAGCGUUGCUUCUCGAGGGGUCCCACGUGAGAAAACUGUGGCUCACACAGGGUUAGCAGUCGGGCUCCCUCUCAGCAACAGUGAGUCGCUGAACUUCCAGGAACAGCCAUGGCCGUGCUGCCUGAGCUGUGGGUACAGGAGCCACCAAAUCUGGGAGCUGCGGAUGGCAGAUCUGCUCUGUCCCCAGUAUGCCCAGCACAGUGGAUGCCUGGCCGUGUCAUUCCUGUGUCACUUGGUUCUGCCUCCAGGUUACGUGAGCCUCUCUUAGCUCUCCUUCUCUGCAGUCCGGGGUUGGGGGCCAGCUGGAGGGGACGAGGACUGGCAGGUGAGGCACCCACACUGUUCACCGUGGUUUCUGAAGGCCAAGGGUGAAAAGAUUGUUAUCAUUUACUUCCUGGCCCAAACUCUGAGAUACGAAGAAAUGGCCAGGGAGAGCGUGUAGACGGGAAGAUGAGGGACCCAGCGGGGAGCCCACUGUUUGCACUUGGAACACAGGAAGAUGCUUUCUCAGGUUCUUCGGUGUGUGUGUCUAGGGUGGGGCCUCUGGAAACGGUUUAUUUGGGAGCUGAUGGCAGAAAGUCCUGCUCAGAAAGGGGAGUGGGGAGACAGGGAGAGGAAGGGGGAACAUAACAGAGGACCAUGUACCAACUGAGCCCUGGGCCGCGUCAGCACCUGGGGCUCGGACGCUGGGGAUGCCUCAGGCUGUCCCGGCCAGGGCCAGCACCCUCUUUCUCCUCCCUGCACGCCCUUGGUGGAGGCCACCACUGGAGGCUGUGGCUGAGGGUCGGAGGCCUGUGACAAGGCCAGGCACCCAUGGUGGCCGCUCCAGGGCACUCAGGGCAGCUCGGCUUCAUGCUCUGCUGUAGGACAGUCUGAGCUGAGGCCUCGCAAGGAACACACACACUCUGGACCGUGACGAGGACACAGCGUUUGCAGCAAGAAACAUUCCUUUGAAAAGCGAUCCGCCUCACGAUGCGUGGCAGCGUCCUACGGGUCCUCCUGUUUCUGCAGGAGCAAGCCCAGCUGCCCCGAUGACAGCCCAGCCCAGACCUGCGACGGAGUCACAGUGUGCCAGCUGUCGGCAGGGUCCACGCAGCCCCACAUGGCCUGGAGGCGGCCCUGGCUCUGGAGAAGGAGCUGCUCCCUCCGGACCCCUGCUCUCUCCCCUCAGCCCCCACUGAUCAGACCACAACUGCUACCAGCCUUGGGAACAGGCUGGGGGUGGGCAUUCGGCCUGAGCCAGGCCAUCUGAGAGUCAUUCUUCCACCCUGGCUGGUGAACAAACCACUCUCCUGUCUCGGUCCUUGCCCUUCUCAGGACAGCGCAGUUUAAAGCGCUCUCUCGCAGGUGAGCACACGUGGCCUCACAGCCGCCCACACUGUGCUGCUGGAGCAGGCAGAAUGUCACUGUCCCCAUCUUAGAGACAUGGAGAUGGGCCCGGGAGGUGGCUGGACUUCCUCAGGUCACUGACCCCGUGUGGGACCGAGGCCUGGCAUCGGAUGGCGAGUGCUCGGCGUCUCCCCUUCCGCAGACCGCAUGGCUGUUGCCGCCAUCCUCCGCACCACCUCCGGGCACCCACGAUCACAGUGGGUGACGGGGGCUCCCCUACUCGCUGUGCCAGGAAGGGCUGUGCAGACUGCCCGGGAGGGCCCAGAUCAAGCAGUGCUCCUGCUGCUCCACGCACAUCUUCCAGAAAAAAUAAAACCGUAGGAAACCCUGAGGCGAGCUAACAAUUCUCGUGCCCAUGUGCUUGCAGUGAAGGGCACUGAGGUCUGCCACUCACUCUGAAACGAGCGAGAGACGCUGGACAGACGGCUGGGUGGCGGGUGGAUGCACUGAGAGGAGACGUGUGUGCAAAUGCGGACGGAGGCUUCUAGGCGGUGGGUUCACUGGGCCAUUCUGCCUACUUUUCUCUGUAUUGGCAAUGUUCACAGAAAAACGUUGGUGAGUUCUUAGAGCCAGUAGCCCCUAGGAUCUCCCGCUCAUUUCUUCAUCGCCCGCUGAUCACAGAAUCAGGUUCCCGUGGUGGAGACAGGGCCACCUACCCAGGCUUGAAGCACACACGGUGGGUGUUCCUGGAAGAGCAGCCUUGUCGUGGAGCCCAGGCAGCCCCUUUCGGGGCAGUUAGCGGCCCUGGCUGGGCACUAACUCCCAGCAGCCUUCAGUCAGGAGAUGAGCCCAUGGGCCGACGCAUCCCCACAUGGCUGCAGGUGGCAUGGCACUGCCCCAUGCUGACAAACACUGGUUUACUCCUCAUUUCACGUGAAGGAGGCCCAGAGAGGGCGAUUCACCCCAGAGAGGGCACACAGCAUGCAAGUGGCCACAGCCAUCGAGAGGCCAGGCCCCUGAGCCCUUGGCUGGGGCUCUUUGAUUAUUCUCUUGCUCCUCAUAAGGUUACUAAAGGGUGAACAAGACAGUCAUUUGGGGCAUUGUAGCAAUUAUUUGCAAUGGGUACCAUUUAACACACCAAAAACCACUGUUAACACUCUAUCUCCCCCACACAGGUCACGGCGCCAUCGGGAGAUGUGCUCAGAGCCAUUUUUCUAGGAGCAGUGACAGGUUUUGCUGACUCAGGUGCAACGGAGCAACAUCUGACAGGGCUAGCCAGCUGCACAGAUACAGCCUGUGGUGCUGGAAAGGCUCUUCUUUGUCUGAAGUCCCUGAUCUAAGCAAUUAUUCAACCUGAGACUGAUCGCUUCCUGCUUGAGUUCACACUGAACUCUGCUGACCCAGUUUCACCAAUCCUGAGUAGCCCUGUCCAUACCUCGUUCACUGGGUGUGCAAGGCUGCUGUGCACCCGGUGGCUGCUGCAGACGUGCACUUGCUUCUGCAUUCCAGCCUGUGCUCUCUCCAGGCUCCAGCUGCCCUCCCUCUCAGGGCAGGCCCAAGCCUUGCCUCACCCGAGGGAGACCUCCCUGCUGCCCACUGAAAGAGCUUUCUUUCUUCUCUGGGGCUCUCUCGCCUCCUUUUUGUUCGGGCUUUUAUUUUAAGUGUGUGGUGAGCUCCCUAGACUGUGGAGAUCAAAGCAGGAGGCCUGUGUCUUUGUUCUGAUAAUGUAUGUACAUGAGCAAGUUGGGUGAGGAGCCGUGGGGCUCAGCAUGCCUGUCACAGACACAGCAGUGCUGUGCUGAGGCUGAUGCCCACCGUGGACACCCCUGUUCCCCAAGUUACUGCCUCAGUUUACCCGAGGCAAUUUGAUUUGGAGCAUUUUAAUUUGGCUCUGGGUUUACUUAUUUAGAAGGACCACAGACAGGUUUGCUGCUGUCUCUGGUUGAAAGUGGCAGAUUAAUCGUGUGUCUUUCUUGAUUUCCUCUGAAUCAUCACAAAAUCACAGUGAAUGGAUGCAGAAAGGUAUAAAUCCAGAGGGAUGUGGACAACAGCAGACCAGACUUGACAACAGAAUUUUGGAAAAUGGGUAGUAUGUGGCUUGGCAGAAUGGAUCAGCUGAGAACUAUGGGCCAGCGAGUGUGCACACGUGUGCAUGUGUGUGCGCGUAUGUGUGCAUGUGUGUGGUGGGUAAGGGGAUCAUAAAAAGGAAAUUUAAGGUUGUUGCAGGUCCUGUUGGUGCACAACCAACCCUUACUGACAGGCACAGAACAGCAUCCUCCGGGAUUCUGUGCCCAGGAACCCAGACAGGGCAGGGUGGGGCUGGCUUGUAGCUGCCCCUCUGCGUCUGGGCCUUAACUGGGGAGACCCAGGGUGUUGAUCGGAGCUCCUCACAGGGGGCAUGGGCUUCCACCCAGCACGGCGGCUGAGGUCUCAGAGGAGGGUUCCAGAGCCACCUGGCACAGGCUGCUUGGCCUUCUGCGGCUCAGCCUCAGGAGCCCCACAGCCUGGCCUCUGCCAUACUCUGUUGAUGAAGUGGUCAUGAGCCCGCCCGGUUGAAGAGUAAGGUCCAUAGAUGCUCACCUCUCAAUGUGAGGGUACCGAGAACUUCGGAGCCACACCAAACCCCAGGGCACUUGGCGUCAGAGGUGCCACGUCGCUGAAGCGAGGGGGCCUACUCUUAGAAGGACUGACUCAGGAAGGCUCUGAGCCUGGAAACCCCAGCCAGAGCGAGGACGGAGAACUCAGACUGAAAACAGAUGAAUCAAGAAAAAUCUGCUUUCUGGGCAGUCAGCCGUUCCCGCUUUCCCCUCAGCCGCAUGCCGAUUGUGCUGUGUGGGCUGAAUGUAGGAGUUUUCUCCAGCGAGACUGACCAUCCAGAGAAAAGACGGACAGGACCCACAUCUGGGGGUCGUGCAGGGACACAGCCAGGCACCCACCUGAUCAGCCGACAGGCAGACAAGCAUUUGACAAGCCCCACUCACCCACACUGAGCUUCCAGCCAGCCAACCGGGGCCUUAAGUAUGGGCAGGAUGUGGCCCCAGACCCCUGGGCAUCGGGGCCUCUGUCGGGCAUGACAGACACAAACAACAACGGACAGAAGGGGCUCAGGGAGAGGGGGGAUGGUGCAGAAAAGGACACAUCCACGGAACAGUAAUGCGAUGGAGAAGGGGGCAUUCGGAAUAAGUGAAAGAGCUCUAAGAAGUUAACAUUAUGUUGAAGAAGAAAAAAAGUCCAAUUGAUUGGGGAAAAUAGCGUAGAGGAAAUCUCGCAGGAAGUGGGAGAGAAAGACGAAGGCGGGCACAGAGGGAGAUUAAAGCGUUAACGGAGGCGGUACAAGGUCUGACCAGCAGGAGCUCCAGAGGAGGAAAGAGGCGAGGACGCCGUCAGAAACAUUCACCAAAACAGGAGACAGGACAGGAGAUUCUAGGCUGAAGGAGCCACCAAGGGCUUAGCACAGCGGUGACAAAAAGACCCCCAUCCAUGCAUGCUGCUGUGAAACUUAGGGACAUCAGGGAAAGAGAAGAAGCUAAAAGCUUCUAGAGAGAGAAAAAAAACCAGGUCACGGGCGAGGCUUUACGAUGAGCCAGAUACCAGCCCCCUCCUCUGCAGCACGGGGAGUGGGCCUGGCGAGCGAUGCUCCCGCCCCGGGAGGGAAGGACCUGCCUCCUAGCACCCUACGACCAGCUGAACGCUCGGCAGGUGCCAAGCACGAGUGGCGGAUCUGCUCCAGGAAACUUGAUGGACUGCGUGUGCGAACGCCCACUUUCCCUUGUUUAGAUUCCUGUGGCGUCUGUCAGGGGGGAGCUACAGCCACACCAGCUGCUAUUUAUCCCGGGUUCACGUCGCCCCCCGACAUGCCUGCCCUUCAGGCUGGGCCCGUCUCUGCUUCCCGUCGUGGUCUGACUUCUCGAAGAUGUAGACUACGUCAAUGGUUCCAACCUUCUUGGACCCACGGACCCCUCCAAGAGUUGAUAAAAGCUACAGAAACUCUUCUGAAAAAUAUAUGCAUGCAUGCACACGCAAGGUUGUGUGGACAGCCUCCGGAGAGCCCUGGGUGUCCUGGGCAGGUCCUCUGUCCCCUCAAACACUCUUCACAUGCGUCCCAUUUUCUCAACUCCUGCGUUAUUCUUUCUCCUUACUUGUUUAUUAUAAACAUAAUACAAUGCAGAAAGCUAUAGCCAAAAAGAGUCCCAAGGGCUGGCCCUGUUGCUGAGUGGUUAAGUUCGUGUGUUCUGCUUCAGCGGCCCAAAUUUUGCUGGUUCAGAUCCCGGGUGCAGACCUACACACUACUCAUUGGGCCACGCUGUGGCAGUGUGCCACAUGGAACAGAAUGACUCAGAACUAGGGUAUACAGCUACGUGCCGGGGCUUUGGGAAGAGAAAAAAAAAAGAGGAAGAUUGGCAACAGAUGUUAGCUCAGGGCCAAUCUUCCUCACCAAAAGAGAGAGAGAGAAAAAAAAAGUGCCAAUCCGCUCACUUCCCGUUAGGCUCCAUCCCCCUCAGGUGUUACUAUUUACAGUCUGAUGGGGAUUCCUCCCGACGUUUCCAAACCUUUAAUGUUGUGUGUGUGCCCGUGUGGGUGCGGGUGAGUUCAUGUAUGCAUACAUAUCUGCAUGUAAACAACCAUAUAUUCACACAGUGUGGAAAAAAAAAAAAGAACGUAUUUUGGAUCAUAACAUACUUUUUCUGCCAUUUGGCUUUUCGUGUGAUAAAUCACAGACCUCUCUUGAUGUUCACCCAUACAGAUUUCCCACGUUGAUUGUCAGUUCCACCAUCUUCCUGGGGGGUCUCGGGUGUCCUUGUCCCCACGUUCUCUCCGAUACUGGAUGUGGGUGAUGUUCUUGAAAUACUGCAGAUGGGUCAAAAAGAGCGUCUCAAGGUUGCUUGACACGUCAUGCUCUUGGCCACUAGUGGGGUGAACGUUUUUCACAUCUUUACGGCCAAUUUAUUAUUUUCCCCUGGGAAUGGCCAGUUUCUUUCUGUGUUAAUCAGGCAAAGUAACACCAACUGCUGCCAUGGACAGUCUGAAAUCCGCGUGGCCGAACACGAUUGCUUUGUUUUCUGCUGCCUGUGAGUGUCCUCCACUUGGAAGCCAGGCAGGUGGGCCUUGGGCCUCCAGGGUGCCACGGGGGGCAGGGGGCACGUGGGGCUGUAGCCGCCUCUGCUGGGACGGGAGCCCCUACCCCGCGACGUCCCGGAGGCCAGACUGGGAAGUCCGUUGCCCUGGGGAGGCUGGGAACCCAGGGAGAGCCCGCCGGCUCACUGAAAGUUUGUCUUUGUCUUGCUAAAGUUUUUCUGAGUUGUCUGCCCUUUUCUUAUUAAUUUCUGAAAGCUCUUGAUGCAUUUCGUACAUUAACCCUUAGUCCUGCCGUGGAACUUUAAUGUAUUUUCUCUUUACUGUUUUGCGUCAAAGCUGCUUGAAUUCUCCAUCCUUCCCAUGCUUUCGGCGACGUGUGCUCCUGGGUCCUGGUGGUCCCUGGGGGCAUCGGCUUCCACGUUCGGCUCAGGAAGCUCAGCCCCAGGUUGACCGAGGUGAUAAAUACCUCCUCCCACAUUUUCUAUUAGAUGCCCAGGUUUCACAGCACAUUUGUGUUUCCUGCAGUGGGCGUGUAUGUGUGUGUGGCUUGUGAGGGCCUGGGUUUCCGCCGUGGUUGUUCCCACUCUGCUCAACCAGCUCAUGGCAAGGGCCCCUGGCUCCGAGUCCUCCGUCCCAGGAAGGUUCCAGUCUCGCCUCUGCCCCCGCCACGUGGCCGGCUGCCUCCCCACUCCUUCCUCACGCCUCCUGCUCCUCCAUCCUCCCUGACUGCCCUCCAGAGCCCUCGCCGGCUCCUGUGCCCGCUCCUCGGGCCAGCUCACCUGGCCCACAUGGGUCUAUGCCUUGCCCACCCGGCUGUCUCCCCACUGGCACUAAGACCCCCUACCCUGGAGUCCCAGGGUCCCUCCGUUUUCCUCCUCCUGCCUGCGGCCCCAAGGGAUGCCCACAGACUUUCCCACACCUGUCUCUUCUGUGUCCCUGAGAGACCCAGGGCCACUUCUGCUUUUCCUCCAUAAGCCGCAUGACCAGCCACACACAUCCCAUCCAUCCCGACUGUGCUGGGUGCGACCUUCCUGCUUUGGCCCCCACCACUCCCCCUGGACCCGCAGAGGCGCCCCUGUCUCCGUCAGCCUUCCACACCUCCGUGUCUUCCCAGGGCCCUUCCUCUGGCCCAGAAGCCCCUGCUCCACUCUCCUGUCCCACUAAAGCUAGGCUCCGUGGGGGGCCAGGCCAGCGCCACUCCCCUGCAUUGCUCCCCGAGCUGCCGAGCCCUGAGCCUUCCUCUCUGUCCACAUCUCCACUGGUCAGAGCCAUGCACCCCUGGUCCUCUUACCCUGCGACACCCUGUGGCUCGUUCACGAGACCUGGAGCUCCUGGAGGCUGGAGCCCAAAUCCUCUGGGGCCAGAGAAGGCAGCCGUGGGGCAAGCUGUUUCUGGAAGGUAAGGGCACAGGGCCUCUGCCUGCAAGGGCAGGUAAGUAUCUGGUGCCCAGAGAGGCGAGUGCCUGACCGUGCAGAGAGCCCGGGGUUCCAGCCAGGGCCCCGCCACCUCAGGGGAGCCGCACUACGGCUGGCGAGGUCAGGCCGCCCCGGCUCAGCCCUCGCAGUUCAGCCAGAGGGAUCCAACAAGGCAGCUUGUGGCUGGAUGCCUGCCUGCCGGACCGCUGCUUCUUUUAAAAGAAUGCCUUCUGCUCUUUGAAUCCCAAGCCUCCUGCAACCCAGAAAAGAUGCGGCUCGCCAUGUGCCCUGCCACGGUGGGCUGCCGGCACCCCUCGGGGUGGGGACGACGGCUGGGGGUCUCAGCACUACGGGCUCCUGCUCGGCUGUCACUGGCUUGACGUCUUCCCCAAGCCCUGGAAUGGAAGCUCUGCGGCUCCCCACCUCCUGCAGCGUCAGGUUUUGAUUUCCUGGCCCUCUGUGGCCAUGGACGACCCGGGGGCUGGCCGCUCGGCCGGAGCACGCGCCCUGGUCACUGGAGGCUCAGGUUGGGUGCAGGCGGGGUGACUGUGGCCCUCUGUCCUCUCAGCACGGAGUAACUGAGGGGGACCAGAUGCUUUUCAGCCUCGGACUCGGGCCAGCAGGGCGGUGGAACUGUGGCUCCUUCAGGCGGGACGUUUUUCUGUAACGUCUCUGCCUGUCAGUCCAUCUGGAAGCCUCGCCCCACCCCUGACUGUCUGCAGAGCUGGCAGACCGCCACCACACAAGCCGCCACCACUUCCUCCGUCCUCCUUGGCAGACGCCACUAAGUGCUCACGGGUGGGGUCUGAACGCAGCCUCAGAAUCCUUCUCAACACUUGCUGGGAGCUGCCAUUCCAGACGGACCCUCCAGACCGCCGUGCAGCUGGGUGAGCUAGGAGCCGUCUUCUGAGUGGGCUCCUCAUGGCUUGAGUGAAAACACAGGCCACAGUGACCCGAGUGUCCAUGGUGACAGUCCCAGACAGCACUGGGCAGGGGCGCUGCAGGGCUCCUGGCUCACCUCCCUUGUUCCCAGGGGAGGAAUGCAGCUCAGAGGAGGGGAGUGAAGGGUGGCCGAUGUGUGUCUAAACUGGCCCUGUAGGACUACGGGGAGCCUGUGCCCCAUCUGGGAAUGCUGCAUUCUGGGGUCCCCUCCUGGGAAUCACCUACGAGAUUGACCUUAAAGGCUGGGAGAAGGGGCUGGCUCAGUGCCAUAGUGGUUAAGAUUGUGUGCUCUGCUUCAGCGGUCUGGGGUUUGGCGCUUUAGAUCCCGGGCACAGAACUACACAUCACUCAUCGAGCCAUGCUGUGGCAGCCAUCCCACAUACAAAAUAGAGGAAGAUGGGCAAAGAUAUUAGCUCAGGGCCAGUCUUCCUCAGCAAAAAAAAAACAAAGGCUGGGAGGAGUGUGGCUGUGGGGGGCUUGGUGGCCUCAGUGCAGUGCUGCAUCCCCUGAGGGCAGAGCGCAUGCUCGGAGCACUGCAUGAGUGCUGGUGCAUGUCUCCACACUGGUCCUCGAGUCUGUUUCCCCGAUGAAGAGGCUCAGAGAGGCUGAGAGGCUUGUCCAGGAUCCCUUGUUGGAAAACGCAGAGGAGGGCCAGGGUCAGCUCUUCUGUUCCUUCCCCUGAGCAUCUCUACGGGUGCUGAGUGUCCGUGGGGGUUCCUUUGAACCCGCUUUAUCCCCUUUGGGGUGUUUCUGCUUGUUAGAAAGAAUCUCACGCUGUCAGGACCAAGGCUGAGGUUUUCGGUCACUGCCACGGGAUACAGUAAUGAAGACAGAGCAUCUCUCAGAGUGGAAACCAGUCCCCACUAUGGUCAGCCCGGAAGCAUCACCUGGGACCCGUCAGAGGCUCAGCAGCUGUUCACGGAGAUUCAACUGAAAUUAGUCAGAUUCACCUCUUUGCUAACAGCGAGUCUUUGCCCCACAGAUUGGCCUGGCUCGAGUCGUGUGCCUAAGAGACUCACGUAUGCACGUCAGUCCUGUCACCGCAGCAGGUAGCACAAGGCCUCAAGUCCCCGAGGCAGCAUGGCCAGUGCGGGCCCUGUGCAGGUGCGAUGUCACUGUCGCUCCUUGACUGUGCUUAGUGGCGCUGGCGGACGGGGACGCGUUCACGGAGGGGACCGAAAGCGAGAUAGAGGUUUCUGUCCCUGUGAUCUAUUGAUGCCCACAACCCUGCAUUUAGGGAUUUAGAACAGCAAUCAUGUGACUGUAUGUCCUGAUUUCAUGGGUCAGGCGUUCGGGCUGCUGCAGCUUGGUGGCUCCCCCGUGCCUCCUGGAGCUGAAAGGGGUCACUUGAUGAUACCCAUCUGGCGGGUGGGCUGGUCCAGGGAGCCCAAGACCACUUCAUUCACACGCCUCCAGCCUUGACGGGGCGACCUGAAGAGAGCACCAGGGUGGACUCUCCAGCCUGGCCGUUGCAGGGUCCUCGGAUUGUCCCCUGGUGGCUGACCUCUUCCUGAGUGAGGAGGUCCCAAAGAGAGGGUAGAAGUGAGGAGGCAUCUACCAUCCUGUCCAGACGUACCACAAGCUCUCUUCUGCUGCCUCACUUCGAGCAAGAGCAUGUCGUGGAGCCAGCCAGCACCCCGGGCCAGUGGGCGGGGGGGCCGGCUGCCCCUGGCAAUGGGGGGAGCAGUGGAGACCCUGCAGCCGUCCUUCAUCCACCACCGCACAGGUUGAGCCUCUGGCGUGUGGGGCAGGGAGAGGAUGGAGUAGGCAGGAGGCAAGGACUGAGUCCUGCAGGACCCCUGCUCAGCGCUCAGUGUCGCAGAGGGGUCCGGCUGUUUGGCCCAUGUGGCCUUUAGAAUCGCUCCCUGCCCUUCUCUGAGCCCUGAGAGGCUGACUCUGUGAGCCCGGGGCCCAGCGUCUCUCCCGCCGGAGGAGACAGGAGGCAGGAAUUUGUCCUCCCAGCCCCAUUGUGGUUUAGCAGUAGCUUGUUCCUCUCCCCAUUCCCUUCUAGUACCCAACCCCGCCCCCAUGCCA